rnacentral:tRNA from 1 species
GGGUGUGUAGCUGUGGUAGAGUGGUUUACCUAGCAUGCAUAUGGUGCUGGGAUCAAGUCCCAGCAUUACCA